rnacentral:snoRNA from 1 species
AAGCCAUGAUGUGGGCAUUGAGACCAAUAGCCCUUGAACCUCUCCCAAGUUUCACUAAAGCCCUCUAGGUUCUUCUGUUGAAAGCUAGAGAUCUCAUUCCUGAUCUU